AUGCGCGCUGGCGGCGUGCCUAAUACAUGCCAGUCGAGCGAACGGACGAGAAGCUUGCUUCUCUGAUGUUAGCGGCGGACGGGUGAGUAACACGUGGAUAACCUACCUAUAAGACUGGGAUAACUUCGGGAAACCGGAGCUAAUACCGGAUAAUAUUUUGAACCGCAUGGUUCAAAAGUGAAAGACGGUCUUGCUGUCACUUAUAGAUGGAUCCGCGCUGCAUUAGCUAGUUGGUAAGGUAACGGCUUACCAAGGCAACGAUGCAUAGCCGACCUGAGAGGGUGAUCGGCCACACUGGAACUGAGACACGGUCCAGACUCCUACGGGAGGCAGCAGUAGGGAAUCUUCCGCAAAGGGCGAAAGCCUGACGGAGCAACGCCGCGUGAGUGAUGAAGGUCUUCGGAUCGUAAAACUCUGUUAUUAGGGAAGAACAUAUGUGUAAGUAACUGUGCACAUCUUGACGGUACCUAAUCAGAAAGCCACGGCUAACUACGUG
rnacentral:rRNA from 1 species